AUUGAACGCUGGCGGCAUGCUUUACACAUGCAAGUCGAACGGCAGCACAGCAGAGGUAACUCUGUGGGUGGCGAGUGGCGAACGGGUGAGUAAUACAUCGGAACGUACCCUGUUGUGGGGGAUAACUACGCGAAAGCGUAGCUAAUACCGCAUACGCCCUGAGGGGGAAAGCGGGGGACCCUAAAUAGAGCGCACUGGGGAGUGCGUUGUAUUUAGGGCCUCGCGCAAUAGGAGCGGCCGAUGUCGGAUUAGCUAGUUGGUGAGGUAAAGGCUUACCAAGGCGACGAUCCGUAGCUGGUCUGAGAGGAUGAUCAGCCACACUGGGACUGAGACACGGCCCAGACUCCUACGGGAGGCAGCAGUGGGGAAUUUUGGACAAUGGGGGCAACCCUGAUCCAGCCAUGCCGCGUGAGUGAAGAAGG
rnacentral:rRNA from 1 species